AGUUGACUUUCAAAUAAUCCACUUGGGCUCAAGCUUAUCCUACCGAACACUGCCUCAUUGCUUGGACUGAAGUCCUUCCUUGUGUACAAGACUGGCCUAGCUAGGAAAAUGCCAGAGCUCACUUUGUCUUCUUCAUGAAACAAGAGCACCGCAUCCAUCAAUACAAUGCUCAUCACAUAUCACAUGCACAACCAACCUGCGUUUGAAAUCAUUAGAAAAUCUAAAGCACAUGCAACGCUAAUAACCUACCAUGAAUCCGCCC
rnacentral:lncRNA from 1 species